UACAGAGACCUCAAGCGUUAUCCGGAGUUAUUGGGCGUAAAGGGUCCGCAGGCGGCCUUGCGCGUCAUACGUUAAAUGUUCGGGCUCAACCCGGACACCGCGUGUGAUACGGCAAAGCUAGAGACUGGGAGAGGCACAUGGAAUUGUCGGUGUAGCGGUAAAAUGCGUUAAUAUCGACAAGAACACCAAAGGCGAAGGCAGUGUGCUAGAACAGUUCUGACGCUCAGGGACGAAAGCGUGGGGAGCGAAUGAG
rnacentral:rRNA from 1 species